CCGCGGUCCGCUGCAAAGUGAGUCCCACCGGCGGAGCUGGCCCGGGCGCUGUGCCCUCGCUCGGCUCUCUCCGCCCCGCCGCGCGGGCCGCGGGCUGCGCUGGGUCGCGGCGGGCCCCGCAGGCGGCCAUGGCGGCGGGCGCCGGGGCCAGGCCGGCGCCGCGCUGGGUGAAGGCGCUAGGUGAGCCGCUCAGCGCCGCGCAGCUGCGGCGGCUGGAGGAGCACCGCUACAGCGCGGUGGGAGAGUCGCUGCUCGAGCCGCCGCUGCAGCUUUACUGGACCUGGCUGCUCCAAUGGAUCCCGCUCUGGAUGGCCCCCAACACCAUCACCCUCAUCGGCCUCGCCAUCAACCUGGUCACCACACUAGUGCUCAUCUUCUACUGCCCUACGGUCACAGAGGAGGCACCAUACUGGACAUACCUUUUAUGUGCCCUGGGACUCUUUAUCUACCAGUCACUGGAUGCCAUUGAUGGGAAACAAGCCAGAAGGACAAACUCUUGCUCUCCUUUAGGGGAACUGUUUGAUCAUGGCUGUGACUCUCUUUCCACAGUAUUUAUGUCCAUCGGCGCUUCAAUUGCUAUUCGCCUAGGAACACAUCCUGACUGGUUGUUUUUCUGCUCUUUUGUUGGGAUGUUCAUGUUUUAUUGUGCUCACUGGCAGACUUACGUCUCAGGAGUGUUGAGAUUUGGAAGGGUGGAUGUAACUGAGAUCCAAGUAGCUCUAGUGAUCGUCUUUAUGUUGUCUACAUUUGGAGGAGCAACAAUGUGGGACUAUAUGAUACCUAUUCUAGAAAUAAAACUGAAGAUCGUUCCAGUUCUUGGAGUUGUAGGUGGAUUAAUAUUUUCCUGUUCAAAUUAUUUCCAUGUGAUCCUCCAUGGUGGUGUUGGCAAGAAUGGAUCUACCAUUGCAGGCACUAGUGUCUUGUCACCUGGACUCCACAUAGGAUUAAUCAUUAUAUUGGCAAUAAUGAUCUAUAAAAAGUCUGCAACAAAUGUGUUUGAAAAACACCCUUGCCUUUAUACUUUAAUGUUUGGAUGUGUCUUUGCUAAAGUUGCACAAAAAUUGGUGAUAGCUCACAUGACGAAAAGUGAACUAUAUCUUCAAGACACUGUCUUUUUUGGGCCAGGUCUUUUAUUUUUAGACCAAUACUUUAAUAAUUUUAUAGAUGAAUAUGUUAUUCUAUGGAUAGCAAUGGUCAUUUCUUCAUUUGAUAUGAUGAUAUACUUUAGUUCUUUGUGCCUGCAAAUUUCAAGACACCUUCAUCUAAAUAUCUUCAAGACUUCAUGUCAACAAGCACCUGAACAGGUUCACAAGCAUAUUGACUGACUAGUAGCCCAAGGAAAAGAGGAGAAGCAGUUAGGGGAAACUAUGUAUGAAGGAUAUCUCCCUAUGCAGGAGGUUCAAGUUCUUUCUUCAAAGACUCAUCAGAAUAACAUGGAUUGAAGAGACUUUCGAACAUUUGCCAUCUCUUGCUGCUGCUGUUUCAUGAAAGGAGAUAUGAAACGUUUAAUUUUUAGUUAAAUGUUAUAAAAAUUUCAGCAAAUAAAACAUUUCAGUGCCUCCA